CCCAGUGUGGCUCAGUAGUAGAGUAAUGGCUUGUGCAUCUAAGGGUUGCAGGUUAGAUUCCUGCUCCAGGGC
rfam:Myotis lucifugus cont2.10831, whole genome shotgun sequence.